rnacentral:rRNA from 1 species
CGACCCCAGGUCAGGCGGGGUUACCCGUUGAAUUUAAGCAUAUCAAUAAGCGGAGGA